AACGAACGCUGGCGGCAUGCCUAACACAUGCAAGUCGAACGAGAUCUUCGGGUCUAGUGGCGCACGGGUGCGUAACGCGUGGGAAUCUGCCCUUUGGUUCGGAAUAACAGUUGGAAACGACUGCUAAUACCGGAUGAUGACGAAAGUCCAAAGAUUUAUCGCCAGAGGAUGAGCCCGCGUAGGAUUAGCUAGUUGGUGUGGUAAGGGCGCACCAAGGCGACGAUCCUUAGCUGGUCUGAGAGGAUGAUCAGCCACACUGGGACUGAGACACGGCCCAGACUCCUACGGGAGGCAGCAGAGGGGAAUAUUGGACAAUGGGCGAAAGCCUGAUCCAGCAAUGCCGCGUGAGUGAUGAAGGCCUUAGGGUUGUAAAGCUCUUUUACCCGGGAUGAUAAUGACAGUACCGGGAGAAUGAGCUCCGGCUAACUCCGUGCCAGCCGCCGCGGUAA
rnacentral:rRNA from 1 species